rnacentral:rRNA from 1 species
UACGGGGGGGGCGAGCGUUGUCCGGAAUCAUUGGGCGUAAAGAGCGUGUAGGCGGCUCGAUAAGUCCGCUGUGAAAGUCCAGGGCUCAACCCUGGAAGGCCGGUGGAAACUGUCGGGCUAGAGUCCGGAAGAGGCGAGUGGAAUUCCCGGUGUAGCGGUGAAAUGCGCAGAUAUCGGGAGGAACACCAAUGGCGAAGGCAGCUCGCUGGGACGGUACUGACGCUGAGACGCGAAAGCGUGGGGAGCAAACAGG